AGUGAUGAAGGCCUUCGGGUUGUAAAGCUCUUUUGCCAGGGACGAUAAUGACGGUACCUGGAUAAUAAGCCCCGGCUAACUUCGUGCCAGCAGCCGCGGU
rnacentral:rRNA from 1 species